rnacentral:tRNA from 1 species
AUAAAAAUGGUGUCCAAUGGAUUCCUAAUCCAUGUGCCGCAGGUCCGAUUCCUGCCGGGGGCACCA